UACGUAGGGGGCAAGCGUUGUCCGGAAUUAUUGGGCGUAAAGCGCGCGUAGGCGGACCUGCAAGUCGGGGGUGAAAGCCCGAGGCUCAACCUCGGAACUGCCUUCGAUACUGCGGGUCUCGAGUCCGGGAGAGGUGAGUGGAAUUCCUAGUGUAGAGGUGAAAAUUCGUAGAUAUUAGGAAGAACACCAGUGGCGAAGGCGGCUCACUGGCUCGGGUACUGACGCUGAGGCGGCGAAAAGCGUGGGGGAGCAAACAGGG
rnacentral:rRNA from 1 species